rnacentral:lncRNA from 1 species
ACUUGCAGAAACUGCUGCUAACUUUUAAAGUUGUUUGGUUUUAAAGGCACUGAUUAUGGAUAUGUAUGAAGUCCAUGCUGUCUGUUAAAUAAAACAUCAUCCUUCAGAGUUAACAGUCCCACCAGGGCAAUAUUGCCCUUUGUAGACUUGUUUUAGCUAACAAGCCCAAUUUCUGCUUAAUAUUGGAAAUUGCAUAAAAUGUAAUUAAUGUUGAUUGGAACUUUGAGCUUUUAGUCAUAGGCCGUGUGGUCAGUCUCUCUAGAAAAGGAGGGCUUUAUUUCUUUUAUAUUUUUCUGAUCUUACUGUUUACCAAACAAUACAUUUUAGACAUAAAGUCUUUGUUUUUCUUAGAUAUUACAUGUACACUGUGCUCCUAGAAUCAGAUACAUAUUGUCUGUGUUCUCAUGGCAAAGAACCAUCAACUCAGUUCAAUUGAUGUAUGAGAUCUUCUUGUCUAAAUUUGAGCCCUUCUGACCAGAGUAUCUAAUUGAUUCCAGACAUGUCCAAACAUCCCAGGAUGUCUAGAUCCAGAUACUACAAAACAUCAGUACUUAUAAAGUCAUAUAAAGUCAGUAAAUAUUCUCAUUUCUCUCAUUUCCCAUGAGUAUCUUUGCCUCCUCAAAGUUCAUGGAAGUUCGCUGUAUGUAAGUUUAUGCACCAUUUCAGAAAGGUUAAAAAUAUACACCUGACCUUAAUCCAGAAAAAAAAUGAUUCAUUCUGAGCAGUAAAGACCUAAAUGUUAAAGAAAUGCAAAGAUGAUUUUUGCUUCUAAAGAAGCAGCUUAAUCUACUAAAAACAUUGAGUUCAAUAAAUUAUCUUAGUUUUGUGGCUUUUCGGCUUUUCAUGGAAUGGCAUUGAAUCGAAAGGAUCUAAUGUAUCCUCGAACCAGUGGCAUAUUUUGUCUGUUGAAACUAAAAAUAUUAUGUAUCUUAAUCCAAAUUAUGGUAGUUUUUAAUCUUUUUUACCUGGUCAUGUUUUAAUGACUUGAGAGGAAGUAUCUGCAAACUGUUUAUUUCAAUACAAAGAAAAAAAUUUAACAAUAAAGCUGGGUAAAAUGUUAAUUUCUUUAAUAUCUAUUCUGGUUACAAGGAUAUCGCAUAAGCUAAGUUUCCUGCUGAAAGGAAGAGUACUCUUGAAUUCUGUGCUUUCUACCCUAAGUGUGAGUCUACUCUGUUCCUAAGCCACUUGUAAAUAUAAAUCCUUCAUUUGUAUUGUUUGUUUGUUUUUAAAAGGGAGGGGUGGAAUUUCAUAAACUUCAGUUCUACAUAGUACUGGGUGUGUGAUAGAAUUGGCAGAAGGCUCUAGGGUGUAAUUUGGAAAAUUUUGUUUCCAAGUCCCAAAGAAAUAUGCACAGGGUGGUAGAAGAUGCAUGUUGUUUCUUAAUUUGUGGAAUGCUUUCUCGUUGUGCAUUGUCAGAGUGCACAUGCAUUUGUAGAUCAAAGUGUUUUUCUACCUAUUUAAUUUGUUAAGGCAAAGUAAAUAUGUUCUCUGGAGUUUGAUUUUAUGUGACAAUAGAAGAUGCUGAUUUGGGAGACAUUUAAGAUUUAAAUGCUAGUAUUUUUCUCUAGGUUUAAUUUUUAGAUUACAGUAAUUUGAAAUUAAAUUUAGAACUUCUUACAGCCUCUUGAUCUGCCACGAGGAGUGAAUAAACUAGCU